rnacentral:rRNA from 1 species
UACGAAGGGUGCAAGCGUUACUCGGAAUUACUGGGCGUAAAGCGUGCGUAGGUGGUUCGUUAAGUCUGAUGUGAAAGCCCUGGGCUCAACCUGGGAAUGGCAUUGGAAACUGGCGAUCUAGAGUGCGGUAGAGGGUAGUGGAAUUCCCGGUGUAGCAGUGAAAUGCGUAGAGAUCGGGAGGAACAUCUGUGGCGAAGGCGACUGCCUGGACCAGCACUGACACUGAGGCACGGAAAGCGUGGGGAGCAAACAGG